rnacentral:rRNA from 1 species
CCCUUAGAUGUUCUGGGCCGCACGCGCGCUACAUUGAUGCAUUCAACGAGUCUAAAACCUGGUCUGAUAGGGCUGGGUAAUCUUUUGAAAGUGCAUCGUGAUUGGGAUAGAUGAUUGCAAUUCUUCAUCUUCAACGAGGAAUGCCUAGUAAACGCAAGUCAUCAGCUUGCAUUGAUUACGUCCCUGCCCUUUGUACACACCGCCCGUCGCUCCUACCGAUUGAAUGAUCCGAUGAAUACCAUGGAUUGAGAGUACGAAUGGGUUCGCUCAUUUCUGCUGCUCGAGAAGUGGAGUAAAUCUUAUCAUUUAGAGGAAGGAGAAGUCGUAACA